AAAUAAAGGUUUUGUGUGGUGGCACACCUGUAUCCUGACACUUGUGAUGCUGAGGCAGGAGAGUCUGUGCAAGUUCAAGGCCAACAACAACAACCAAAAGUAGGAAAUAAAUCCAUGAGGCACAAGCAUUUUUUAACAAAAUCUUGAGGAAGGUAAACAACUUACAUUGAACCCAUGUAGGUCACCCACAGCAGGGUAGGAAAUGUUUAAAGAUAGGAACACAGUCAUAAAGUACUCCUGUCUGGGUUGGUUAGGAUUAAUAGUCCAGAAAGUUCACUCAUACUCAGGAGUUGCCUCUGAUGUCCUAAGUCAAGGUGUCAACACGUGUUUAGGGAGGUUGGGUGGUCUUUUGUUUGGCUGGAUCAUGCUAUCAUUUGGAUCUCCGGUGUUCCCCAGAGGCUUGUGUGUCGGAGGUUUGGUCCCUAGUUUGGAGCUGUUAGGAGAUGAUAGAACUUUCAGAAAGUGGGGCAUAGUAGAAGGAAGUUAAGUAAUUGGGGACUUGCCCUUGGAGGUGGGAUGGGGUCUCCAGUCCCUCCCUCGUUUCUCUCUACAUUUUUGCCACCGAGAGAUAAACAGGUUCCUUCAAGGACAGAAACCCCUGUAACUGAGGAAACCUUCCUUUCUAUGAUUUAACAUUUUCAGGUAUCUUGUCAGCCCCAGGAAGCUGACACAGCCCCUGUCUGUUGACUGGGAAGAAUGAACCGAUGGCAGUGAGAUCUAGAAAACCACACUCAAGAGAUCAUCACAAACAAUUCAGGAAUGCAGAGGCCGAUGAUAAUGCCUAGGACACCCGGCAAAACCGAAAGCAGCAGGCUGUGCGGAGAGUUUUCAUUUCCCCGACUCCAACCCCUGGUCUCACAGCUGCCCCAGCAACCACUUCCUGAAAUGCAAACACAAACUCGUGCACACACGACCCCAUAACAUACAGACUGAUGAUGGAGUACUCGGGAAAGCUCCACACCUUCGGUUCGCCCCCAGGGACCGGCUCUCACGGUGGAGAGACUAGCUUCAGCAACUUCUAGUCUCUCUACGGUGGUCCCUUUCUGCUUUUCUUCCAGUGACAUGAUUCUGUGUGGCUUUCCCGAGCCCGCUCGCCCAGUCCUUAGCAAGGAUCUGCGGAGUCGCUGCUUGCAGAGCGGACGGGAAGCAGGUGUCCGGCGCCAUCGGAGGGCAGGCCCGCGUGGGAGCCGCCUGUCCUCGCCGCGCAUCCCAGGUGACUCCGGCCCGACCCGCCUCCCCUGGACCAAGGCGUUUAGAAGCACCUUAGAAACUGCACCACCCGUCAGCUGGCUUCAAAACAAAGAGUCCUUUCAGCCGCUUCAGAUGCUGGCUCGUCGCCAUGGCAACCGUCCUCCGCCUGCCUCCCUCCCCUCCCCUCCGCCGGGCGCCCCGCAGCUGCGUGGGUGGAGGCGCCGCUUUGUCCCCGGGGGCCGGCUUUAUUUCCCGCCUUUGUGGUGGACCAGAGAGGAGUCACCCCCGGGAAUUCACUGUAGAAAUGCCAAGUUUCUUUUCAACCAUCCUGGUUGGGUCCAGGAGAGUCCGUCCCCCUCAGGCCCAGCAGCGCCACCUUCCGUGGAGAAGAGCGCACUGCCCGGUCCGCCGCUGCGCAAUAGGCAAUAUGCGUUCUGGCCAUUGUCACUUUUCUAGUGGCGCUCAACAUUUGAGCAGCGAGAGCUUUCUUGGCUGAAAAGACAGAAUGGUUAUGUAAACAAUUAGGGCGUGUUUUCUGUUUGUUUUCUCCCCUCCCAGAUGCUUAUUUUAAAUGAUUAUGUACGUUCAAAAUUUUUUUAUUAACUUUGAUGACGUCCUCAAUAUUUACUUUCUCUUUUCUAUGGAGGAACUUUUUUAAACAUUAAAAAUUAAAGGAGCCAGAAAUCAAUCUUUGGCUGCCAUGUGAAUUUGGGAGUUUGGGG